rnacentral:rRNA from 1 species
AUUGAACGCUGGCGGCAGGCCUAACACAUGCAAGUCGAGCGGAUGAAUCGAGCUUGCUCCUGGAUUCAGCGGCGGACGGGUGGGUAAUGCCUAGGAAUCUGCCUGGUAGUGGAGGAUAACGUCCGGAAACGGGCGCUAAUACCACAUACGUCCUGUGGUAGAACGAGGGUGAUCUUCGGACCUCACGCUAUCAGAUGAGCCUAAGUCGGAGUCGAUAGUUGGUGGGGUAAAGGCCUACCGAGGAGACUCACCGUAACUGGUCCGAGAGGAUGAUCCGUCACACGUGAACGGAGACACGGACCAAACCUCGACGGGAGGCAGGAGCGGGGAAUAUUGGACAAGGGGCGAAAGCGUAUAUCAGCCAUGGGGCGUGUGUGAAGAAGGGCUUCGGCGUGUAAAGCAUGUAAAGUUGGGAGGAAGGGAAGUAAGUUAAUACCGUGCUGUUUGGAAGUUACCAAAAGAAUAAGCACGGGCUAAUUUCGU